GAUGAACGCUAGCGGCAGGCCUAAUACAUGCAAGUCGAGGGGCAGCACAGGUAGCAAUACUGGGUGGCGACCGGCAAACGGGUGCGGAACACGUACGUAACCUUCCUUUAAGUGGGAGAUAGCCCGAAGAAAUUCGGAUUAAUACCCCAUAAGAUUGUGGAGUGGCAUCACUCAGCAAUUAAAGAAUUUCGCUUAAAGAUGGGCGUGCGGCUGAUUAGGUAGUUGGUGAGGUAACGGCUCACCAAGCCAACGAUCAGUAACUGGCGUGAGAGCGCGACCAGUCACACGGGCACUGAGACACGGGCCCGACUCCUACGGGAGGCAGCAGUAAGGAAUAUUGGUCAAUGGACGGAAGUCUGAACCAGCCAUGCCGCGUGAAGGAUGAAGGUCCUCUGGAUUGUAAACUUCUUUUAUGUGGGAAGAAACCACUCUUUUCUAAGGGUGUUGACGGUACCAUAGGAAUAAGCACCGGCUAACUCCGUGCCAGCAGCCGCGGUAAUACGGAGGGUGCAAGCGUUAUCCGGAUUCACUGGGUUUAAAGGGUGCGUAGGCGGAUUAGUAAGUCCGUGGUGAAAUCUCCGAGCUUAACUCGGAAACUGCCGUGGAUACUAUUAGUCUUGAAUGUUGUGGAGGUUAGCGGA
rnacentral:rRNA from 1 species